rnacentral:lncRNA from 1 species
UUGGACCCCAGCCCUUCACUGGAACACACACACACACGCACAUGCAUGUACACACACAUACACACACAUGCAUGCACACAUCACUCUGCACAUACCACACCACACACACGCGCACACACAUACCACUCUGCACAGACUCUGAGCAGUCCGAAAGUCCCCGUGGACCCUUUGGUUCACACAGCCCUGGAGGGGAUGGGGAAGGACCCACCUAGCCUUGCAGAGGCAGAAUGACUCUUGCCAGUCAGGAAUUCCUACAGCGGGUUGCAUCAUUCACAUAACAUUAGCAGCCAUCAAAGGCUAAAGAGCAGCCCCCAAAAAGGAGAGGCUCAGUGGCCACAAUGGCUGUGGCCCUCACUUCCGCACUGUGCAGAGGGCCCUAGGGGCCCUGGCCUCCGGGCCUGAGCUCAAGGCCACCACGGUAGUGUCCCAUCAGAAACGUAUGACAUCCUGCUGCUCCUGCUCCGUCCUGAGGUGGCACCCCCCAGUUUUCUGGGUGUACACAUCCAUCUAAGCUUGGCUGGUGGGCGUCUGCCCAGAUGAGGGGGCCAAGGACCCAACUCUGCACAACAGCAAAUGCAUUCAGGGAGGGCCACUGGGACCUCCAGGAGCUGCUGAGAUACCACCCAAGUCCCAGGCGUGUGCAGGACUCAUGGGGCCAGAGGCAUAAUUUCACUCUUGUUGCCCAGGCUGGAGUGCAAUGGUGUGUGUGAUCUCAGCUCACUGCAACCUCCACCUCCCCGGUUCAAGCAAUUCUCCUGCCUCAACCUCCCAAGUAGCUGCUAUUACAGAGACGGGGUUACACUAUGUUGUCUAGGCUGGUCUUGAACUCCCGGCCUUAAGUGAUCCACCCACCUCGGUCUCCCAAAGUGUUGGGAUUACAGGUGUAAGCUACUGCAACAGAGAUGAGGUUUCACCAUGUUGCCCAGACUGGUCUCGAACUCCUGUGCUCAAGGGAUCUACCCACCUCGGCCUCCCAAAAUGCUGGGAUUACAUGCGGGAGCCAUCGUGCUUGGCCUGUGUAUGAUUCUUAUUUGUCCCAGAUUUGACCAGUGGGAGCCCCUUCAAGUUGGAUCGUAUAUCCUUUUGAUGUGUCAUUAUGAAUAUUUUGUAUUUUCUGGCACAAUACAAUGUUCUAG